UCACACACACACACACACACAGAGUUAGAUGGCGGUCAACCCAUUGAAAUGGAAUGAUUCUCAUUCUAUGGGUCAACCAUUUCAAAACACUUGAGAACAAUUAAAACUGUUUUCAUUCAAUGAACAAACGUCCAGGUCAUCAAACGGCCCUCCAGCUGUAAAUGCUCAUCAAAUGAACGUUCAUCAAACGGUUCUAGUAAAUUCUAAAUGGUCUCAAUUGUUCAUCAACGUGAAUCACAUAAAACGGUACACAAGCUUUUCUGUCAGUAUUUUAACUCCGGGGGUUAACCAUUUCCUACAAUCCUCUGCCAGAUGCUAGUCAGUGUCACAUGGCUCAGAUAUCAAAGCACACAGGUCAGAGUCUCACAUCAGCGUUGUCUCCUGACUGGUGUAAGUCCACAGCAGCUUCGCAAACAAACGCUUACAAGGGCUGAAGUCUGUAGGUAAACUAACACUUACAAGGGCUGAAGUCUAUAGGUAAACUAACACUUACAGGGCUGAAGUCUAUAGGGAAACUAACACUUACAGGGCUGAAGUCUAUAGGGAAACUAACACUUACAGGGCUGAAGUCUAUAGGGAAACUAACACUUACAGGGCUGAAGUCUAUAGGGAAACUAACACUUACAGGGCUGAAGUCUAUAGGUAAACUAACACUUACAGGGCUGAAGUCUAUAGGUAAACUAACACUUACAGGGCUGAAGUCUAUAGGUAAACUAACACUUACAGGGCUGAAGUCUAUAGGGAAACUAACACUUACAGGGCUGAAGUCUAUAGGUAAACUAACACUUACAGGGCUGAAGUCUAUAGGGAAAUAGCAGGAUGUCACUUCAAACAGCUCCUCUGUGAAUUUA